rnacentral:tRNA from 1 species
UCCCUGGUGGUCUAGUGGUUAGGAUUCGGCACUCUCACCGCCGCGGUCCGGGUUUGAUUCCCAGUCAGGAAA